GGUCAUGCAUCUGUAGGAAUCUACCCGAAGAUAUUAUGACACGAAGAACUGCGGCACAGAAAUCAGUAUUACUGAUCUCAGAUAUAGUCUGGGUUGCCAAAGAACAAAAGAAUUCCGCAACAACCGUUCUGAACAGUUCAUACGCUUUGAGAGUGGACAUUAAAGGACAUGGAUUCGCUAGAUAUUGUCUGCAUAUCAAAACAAACGUUACUAUGCAGCUCAAUUGUUCGUCUGGUGUUGUUGCUUUGGUAACAACACGGCAUCCUUAACUACAUCAACCGCUUCAACACAGACGACACCAUUGGUAACAUCAUCACCAGCAACGUCUUUAACACCAUCAGCAUCAACAUCAACAUCAACACCAACAUCAAUAGCACCAUCACCAUCAACAACAACAUUAGCAUCUUCUCUUAUGUAUUCAACAUCAACAGCUACAACUACAUCUUCAACGAAGGCACAUACCCGAACAUCAGCACCAGAGACAGAUCCUGCAGUAACGUCCAGUCCAGGGUCUAGUGUUUCAGCGAUAGCAUCAGACAAAACAACAACACACGAGACAGACCCUGUAGUAACGUCCCGUCCACGGCCUAUUGUUUCAUUAACAUCAUCAGCCAAAGACAACGCAGAAAGCAUCACUUCAAAUACAUCACUUCCAUUAACGAGUGCUCCAGAAACAACUGCCAGCGUGCUGGUGACGACCAAACAAGGGGCAAAGAACCAACCCUCAACACCAUCAUCCCAGCCGUUAGCUUCAUAUACAGUACCAUCGUUUACAACACUAGCACAGGAGACUUCUAAAAGUACUCCUAAUUCAGAUAACAACACUCGCCCCGAUGCCAAUUCUCAGGCUACAGCUUUCCUGUGCUUGGGUUAGCAGUCGGACUGUUAGCAGGGAUAUUACUUGUACUGGUCAUCACGGGUACUGUGCUGUUUUGCAGAACCUUGCAGCUCGGAUCUCUCACUCAAGUAUGCUGACCCCGAGUUAAACUCGGAUCCCUCACUCAGGGAUGCUGAUGCUGAUGCUGAGUUAAACCAGGAUCAAACUGAGAUGAUGCAAACACUAGUCACUAAGCAGGGAAGGAUUGCUCUAAGCGUAUGACGUAUUGCCCACCCGGUGGAAGGAAAGGUUCUACACAGGGACUCUAUCGAUUGUAAGGAAUUUUACAAGUCUACCAGGCAGAGGAGGGCAGUUUUAUUUGAACCCUAUAAUUGUGGCAUUGGACUUGUCUCGUGCAGGUCUGUUUGAUGGAAUAUGUGUAAUUUGGAAUUGAUGUUUAUUUAAACACUAUAGUCACUUUUGUCAUUGUGUGUUUGCACAACGUUGGAAGACAACCUAAGGUGACACAGAUUGAUAAAACAACCGUGAAGUUGACAGUUCAGUGGAUAUUAACCUGGCGUUUGGUUCCUGAACCGUCAAACGAUGGAUCUUGGAUCAGCUUACCUACUCACAGAAACAUACAGUGCCUCCAUGCAAUGUCGGUGUCGUCGUCGUACUCCAGAGCUCAAGUCUAGGCAUUUGGGUACGAAGGGAUCCUGGUUCACCUAGAAAGAUAAAGCGCCAUCAUCCGGUGGUCAUCUUGUUGUCGCACUUUACAGAAGAACUCCUGUUAUUUGGGACGAGGGAUCCUGGGCCA